ACUUGUCGGUGCGUGUGUCAAGAUAGGAUUGACCACUCUAAUUUAGGAGCUGUGUACAGUCGUAUUUCAAUUUAGCAAAACCUUGACCAAGGUAGUCCUCGUGAGGAGUCAUAAGACUGUUUGAGUUGAGCACGAUUCGGAUGAUCUGAUCAGGGUUGACAGUUUAACCCUGAGUCAUCCUAAACACAGGGGUCAAAAGGAUGAAUUAUAUAGUAAUCAUAUUCACGUAGGUUCUGAGUGUUGCGAUUGUGACUAUUCGACCUAUUC
rnacentral:lncRNA from 1 species